GUACACGAGCGGCGAACGGGUGAGUAACACGUGGGUGAUCUGCCCUGCACUUCGGGAUAAGCCUGGUAAACUGGGUCUAAUACCGGAUAUGACCAAUGGCUGCAUGGCUGUUGGUGGAAAGGUUUACUGGUGCAGGAUGGGCCCGCGGCCUAUCAGCUUGUUGGUGGGGUAAUGGCCUACCAAGGCGACGACGGGUAGCCGACCUGAGAGGGUGACCGGCCACACUGGGACUGAGACACGGCCCAGACUCCUACGGGAGGCAGCAGUGGGGAAUAUUGCACAAUGGGCGAAAGCCUGAUGCAGCGACGCCGCGUGAGGGAUGACGGCCUUCGGGUUGUAAACCUCUUUCAGCAGGGACGAAGCGAAAGUGACGGUACCUGCAGAAGAAGCACCGGCCAACUACGUGCCAGCAGCCGCGGUAAUACGUAGGGUGCAAGCGUUGUCCGGAAUUACUGGGCGUAAAGAGCUCGUAGGCGGUUUGUCGCGUCGUCUGUGAAAACUCGAGGCUCAACCUCGAGCUUGCAGGCGAUACGGGCAGACUUGAGUACUGCAGGGGAGACUGGAAUUCCUGGUGUAGCGGUGAAAUGCGCAGAUAUCAGGAGGAACACCGGUGGCGAAGGCGGGUCUCUGGGCAGUAACUGACGCUGAGGAGCGAAAGCGUGGGUAGCGAACAGGAUUAGAUACCCUGGUAGUCCACGCCGUAAACGGUG
rnacentral:rRNA from 1 species